AGCUUCCUGUCCCGCCCCGUCACGCUCGCGGCGCUCGGGGCUGCUCCGGGGGUCCCGGCGGCUCGGCCUCGGCUGCCGGGUGACCUUCGCUGACCUCGCGGCGUCGGGAGGACACCGCGGAGCCGGGGGCGGCCAUGGCUGGCGCUCUACCACUUGAACCACAAUUCCAACUUCUGGCUUUUUGGUAAUUUGAGAGUCUCACAGGCUUUUCUUCGCAGCCUGAUUUCGAACCGGUGACUAAAGAUUUCAUCCUCCAACCCCCCCCCCCCCCCCCCAUUGUAUCGGGCCAUUUGAACCCACGGCAGCGGGGGCAAGGACAUCCUACUGGCAUGUGGUCUCCACCCCCAAAGUGAGGAGCACGCGCUGGUCUUUCUAGAGAGGAGCCCAACCUAGGAGAAAGAAGGAGGCUGUGACCUUCGAUGAUGUGUUUGUCAACUUCACCCUGGAGGAGUGGGCUCUGCUGGAUGCAGCCCAGCAGCAGCUGUACAGAGACAUGAUGGUGGAGACCUUCCGGAACCUGGCCUCCAUACGUAAGGACCACUUCCUUCCCUGACCUGCUCACUCAGGGAGCGAGGCACUGUUCUCCCGUGCUGCUCAGUCAUGUGGAAUGUGGGAUGAGAACAUUUGGGUAAACCUGCCAGACAUGCUCGUGUCACACCAUGAAUGUAACUGGAAUCUCGUGAUUACUCUGUAAAGACAUCAUCAUUUGUAAUGAUGUUCUAGAUCUACAUUGUAGAACAAGAAAGGGAAGACCAGACCAUUGAAGAGGUAUGCUAAAGUCCCAGGAGAUAACUAAGGAAAUGUUCUCCAAAAAUGGAUUUAGGUAGAACCACCAUAAUCUGCAAAUCCAAAAUGUUUUAACAUUGGAAGCCUCUGGACCUCCAGUCUUUUGCCAAAAACAACGAUUUCUGAUGCUUUAAGGGUUUAAGAUUUAUGAAGACUUGCUGGGCACCAGUGGUCACACCUGUAAUCCUAGCUAGUCAGGAGGCUGAGACUUAAUGAUUGCAGUUCAA